CCUACGGGGUGCAGCAGUGGGGAAUAUUGCGCAAUGGGCGAAAGCCUGACGCAGCGACGCCGCGUGAGGGAUGAAGGUCUUCGGAUCGUAAACCUCUGUCAGCAGGGAAGAACGGUCACUGUGCUAAUCAGCAGUGAAUUGACGGUACCUGCAAAGGAAGCACCGGCUAACUCCGUGCCAGCAGCCGCGGUAAUACGGAGGGUGCGAGCGUUAAUCGGAAUUACUGGGCGUAAAGCGCUCGUAGGCGGUAUGUCAAGUCAAGGGGGAAAUCCCCGCGCUCAACGUGGGAACUGCCUUUGAAUCUGGGAAACUGGAGUGUGUGAGAGGAUAGUGGAAUUCCAGGUGUAGGAGUGAAAUCCGGAGAUAUCUGGAGGAACAUCAGUGGCGAAGGCGACUAUCUGGCACAUAACUGACGCUGAGGAGCGAAAGCGUGGGUAGCAAACAGGAUUAGAUACCCUAGUAGUC
rnacentral:rRNA from 1 species